AGUGAACGCUGGCGGUAGGCCUAACACAUGCAAGUCGAACGGCAGCACAGUAAGAGCUUGCUCUUACGGGUGGCGAGUGGCGGACGGGUGAGGAAUACAUCGGAAUCUACUUUUUCGUGGGGGAUAACGUAGGGAAACUUACGCUAAUACCGCAUACGACCUACGGGUGAAAGCAGGGGAUCUUCGGACCUCGCGCGAUUGAAUGAGCCGAUGUCGGAUUAGCUAGUUGGCGGGGUAGAGGCCCACCAAGGCGACGAUCCGUAGCUGGUCUGAGAGGAUGAUCAGCCACACUGGAACUGAGACACGGUCCAGACUCCUACGGGAGGCAGCAGUGGGGAAUAUUGGACAAUGGGCGCAAGCCUGAUCCAGCCAUACCGCGUGGGUGAAGAAGGCCUUCGGGUUGUAAAGCCCUUUUGUUGGGAAAGAAAAGCAGCAGGUUAAUACCCCGCUGUUCUGACGGUACCCAAAGAAUAAGCACCGGCUAACUUCGUG
rnacentral:rRNA from 1 species